GGCUUGCCUUCUGAGUACUGUAUUGCUCUCAUCUCAAAAUUAUAAGGACUCUGGCACAUCUUAAAAUAAAAUCCAACUCCACAUAAAAUCCAACUCCAACUUUAGAGGCUGGAGCAUCCUUAUCUAGAGAUAAAAGGAGGAAGAUUCCUCAAGAAGGAGGACAAUUUUCUGCAGGGCAGCCAUGAGUCAAUUCAUUCUAUUGCCCCUCUAAGUAGAAUCCUCCUCAUCACAAAGUUGGAUCCAACUUUAAUUGGAUAAAGAAUGCAAAUAGGCCUUUUACACAAGCCUGUAAGGAUCUCAGGAGGAGAUAUCCAAACUCGCUGAUUACUUGGGGGAGAUACAAAGAUACUUACACAAACAUCUGGGAGGGAUUACAAAUCUAAAUACUCAAGAACAAGAAACACAUUCAAGAACAUCAGUGAGAUUCUUCUAACUGGGGACUGAGAACAGCUUAGAAUCUGGCAGAAGACAAGCUCCAGUUUUCCAGAGCAGAGAGCAGAGGGCUGGUCUCCUGCUAGACAGGUAGAAUAAGCCCCCCUUGGUAAGGCUCUGCCACCACUAGGUAGAAGCCCUUUGACAAAAGGGCUUUCAUCUCUUUCUAAUCCCCUACUUAUGCUUCUCUCAAAUAUGUUUAUCCUCAAGAAACAGUUGUUAUUAAAGAUGAUGCAAAAGGAAUAAAACAAUAGCGUAUUUAAUGUAUUUUGAGUCACCCGAAGAGGAAAACUGAUAGCUGGGUAAUUAUAAAGGUAAAGGAGAGAAUGUUGAUUUUUUAAAACACUUUUUUUCUAUUUCAUAUUUUAAAAACAUAUCAGUCUUAAAAUGAAAUAUAAAUCUUUUGUGUAUACAACCAGAAAGUGCAAAUAAAUGCACUCUUCAAUAAAAUAAUUUACUUUUCAACCACACUGUUGAAUAGAGAAAUCACAAAUAUUAACCUUUCUAAAACAAAUAUUAAUAAUUUCAUAAAGAGGCACUAGGCUAAUAUUUUAUCAAAAAUAAGCUAAAUAUUUCCUUUCACUAUUUUUUCCACCUAGACAGAAAAGCUGUCUGACUUAAGAAUCAGUUUAAAACAGGUACUUCAUUAUACGCUUCCUAUUUUUUUCAAAAUAUAACUAAUUUUAUUUUUUAUAGACGCUAGUAAGUAAUUGUCUUAAAUGUUGAUUUUGAAUUUCUCUCAAGGAAUAUCCUCUUUUAUUUUAUUAGCAGUAAUAAAACUAUGGUGCCCUGGAUAAUUCAAUUGCAUAUUAUUUUCCACCUGAAGAACUUUAGAAACUUUAGAAGUUUUCAACUCUUGGAACAUAAGCAUUGCUUCAUUACAGUGUGUUUUUUCUUACUGUAGUUUCAUAAAACAAAUAUUCUAAAAAGAGGCUUAUUAAGGAUAGGGAAGCAUUACAAUGUCUUCACACAAAUCCUUUUUGAGGAAUAAAAAGUAAUAACUUUUCUUAAAAUUUUUCACGGUGAGUUUUAGCAAAUUGUAUCUAAAGUUGGAUGUAUCUUUGGUAGUAAUUUUUAUCUCUGAAAUUAGAAAAUAUAAUAUUAUUUCUUCCUCUCUCUGUUCAUUAGAUUGAAGAAUCUCUUUAAAGCACAUUUUAAAAUAUUAUCUAAAAAUACUGACAUAAUAUUUCUGUACAGUAUUAAUAAAUGUUUUUUCAUUGCCACAUACACAAAAAGCUUAUUGCAAUGCUACGGCAUUCAUUCAAUCUUUUGCCAAAUGUUUAUCAAGCACCUGCUAUGUUCUAAUAUGUUCUAGGCAAUGUGGUAUAUACACUAUUUAGUUCUCCAAAUAUAAUUAUAGUUCUUCAUCACAAAUAGUUAGAAAAUAAAUAACUUAAAAUGGGUCCAACCCCAUAAUCUUUCUUUGUGUGCAUGUGCACGUGUGUGCAUGUGAAGAAUAAGACAAAUUCCAUCAUCAGCAAGUCACUUAAUUUCUCUGGACUUCAUUUUCACUCCCAUAAACAGUUAUUUCUUAAAGUAUUGUAAUGAUUAGAGAAAAUUUACUUUAAAUUCUUGUCACUCAGUGGUUAGGCUCUUGUAAAAUGUUAGUUAUUGUCAUUCUUCCGUGAGAAAUGUUGUCUGACUUCAAUUCUGUUGCUAAUCUACUGAGUUGGAUGUGGGGAUGCUCAUUCCUAUUGACUAUUCAUUGAAUUGAAUGUUUUGGAUCCAGCUCCUAUGUAAGAAAUCCUUUAGUAAUCUCAAACACAGAAAUGAGUCCAAUUAUGCAAUUAAUGAUGAAAAGUAUAAAUACGUCUCCAUCCGAGACUGAUCCUUUUAGGAAUACAGUCAAUUAAAAUGUCUUAUACUAACACUUUGCCUUUCAUAAAGCCUCCUGGGGAGGACAUUCAAAUUGCCAAGAAAUUUUAGCAUCUGGUCUUGAUUUCCCACCACAUCUUAAUGAGAGACUGAGCAUAUAUUAUUUUGAAAAAAAGUUUCAUUUCUACAUCAAAGAGAAAAGUAGUAAAACCAGUUGCAUGUCUUAAAUAUUUACAAAGACACACACUCAUUCCAAUGACAUUAAACACUGUUAUUCUAGAAAUAUUUAAGAUUAAGAUUCUCUAGUUUUUACUUAUCCUAAGAUUUAAAGCAAAUUAAUUCCUCAUUAGUUAUGAGGAAUAUGCUUUGAAACAAGCUGUUUAUUUUUCAAUUGGAGUGUGGUGUGCCAAGCAAAGCAAUUAAACAAGAGUUGCCAGCAAAAUCAGCAGCCCAGCCACUGGAAGACAAGAGCAAUAACCUACUGAUGACUUCCUAUUCUGUUUUUAGCCAUGUU
rnacentral:lncRNA from 1 species